UGGAGAUAAUGAGCCCGGACUUCCUGGGGCUGCUGGAGGUUUAAUUGGUUCACGGCGGCUAAGUGGUUGGCGAUCGUGGCCUGGAAUUCCGGCCAACGCUGCUCCCUCCACAAGGCCAUACAGACAGCAGGCAGUGAGCUGGUUUUGGCUCGAAGACAGUUUUUGCAGCCUCGGCUCUAGAUCAGUGGCUUGUGGACUCUUUUGACCAUGACUGACAGAUCCAGGGUAGUUACCUGUCUAUGAUGAAACCUUCCGGAGGACUGCUCAAUCCUUUGCUCCCACCGCAGUGAGGAAGAUGGAGGACUAGACAAACAGGAGGACGGGUCAUAUGGCCAGCUAAACAUUCGAAUAGCCAUGGUGAACAGCUGAUGUAUAUAAAGCAAGAAUUAGAG
rnacentral:lncRNA from 1 species